ACUGUAAGCCAGCUCCAUCUUUGCUGGAGUUCGAAUCGCACAGAGAUUUGGCUUGAGAAUGACUUCGCUCGGCGUUGUUCGCGCGUGUUAUCAGCACGCCUUUGGUGCGAGUGUGUGGCUAUUUUGUGGCCCCGCAAUAGAUCCCAAAAGGUAUGGAAUGGUAUGAAAAGCAGGGUGAGAAUCUACGCCCACGUCGACUGCGGCAGAGGCCCUACCAACCUUCCUAAAGGACACCAACUCUAGCACAAAAUAACUUCAAACAUACAAUUCAAUAACAAACGAGCUGAUGAGCGUUGGAGCAGAGCCGGGUAGAAUUCUUAUGCAUUGAGGAGCAG